GCGUGAGUGGCGAAAUUGGUAUACGCGCCAGAUUUAGGUUCUGGUGUCCUCGACGUGCGGGUUCGAGUCCCGCCUCACGCA
rnacentral:tRNA from 1 species